UUGCCUAAGGAAAAUAUGAAUUGUACAGAUUUCUACAGUAGACUUUUUUCUCCCCCUUGCUUUACAGGUGUUUCAUCUUUUCGGUAAAAGCCAUCAGUUCUCUUCAGGGAAUUCCAGCGAGCUGAGUAUACCACAAAACGCCCAGGAAGACCCUGAUGCCAUCAGGUCUGGAAUGGGUACUGCCAUCAUAGUACUUGAAUGCUCAGGUGCUCUGUCUCAGAUGUUCCCAAGUCCACAAAGGAAAAGCACCUACCUUCCCGAUCCUUCUGGCCAUGGAAGCAGAUCUGGGCACAAGAUCUUCUGAAGUUUUAUCUUCUGGUUUCUGAGACUGCUACAGACUGCUUAAGACAAGGGAAUUACUUACCCAUUGGACACAGGGAACCCUGUAUUUUUGGUGGUCAGCGCUCUGUGAGGAACUCACCAGUAAGACGAACAAUUUUAACCACCUGAAAAGAGUAAUAACCUUCAGAAAUAUGUUGUCAGUAAUGUCUUACGGUGACUAGUAAAUGGAAAUUUGUUAUUUAUUGAUCCAUGCAUGACAGAUGCGUAUGGAUGGACUAGCACGUUGUCUAUACGAAGUGUACCACAACUGUAAGGCUAACAAGAAAUAUUUAGUUAAGCAUAGAAGUCACCUCAUGGCUUAAGCAAUUGCACCAUGAUGUGAUUUUCUUAAGUGAAAAUGACUCAUAAUUUCUUCUUUUGCAUCUCUGUUAUACCCUUCUGCUUCAGUGAAGAUUUUAUACUUCGCUGUUUUACUUGUUGACACUUCUAAUUGCCGCUUCUUCCUGUUUUUCACCUUUUUAAAGAAUCAGUUGCUCCCGUCAAUGCUAAAAGAGGAAUGUAUUCCCUCUUUUUUCACUCUGUGUGUUUUCAGUCUAUUUUGUUGCUAUCUGGCUGGUGUAAGUACAGAA
rnacentral:lncRNA from 1 species